rnacentral:lncRNA from 1 species
AGAGUAGGACAGCACAUAUUUGCAGGCUAACACAAGCAUUUCUGAAAGGAAAUGCAUUUGGAAACUGAGUGGUAUUGAAGCAUCUAUUUUUCUUGCUAGCAGCACAAUCUGCCACCAGGAAGGUUUUAAACACUUUCCUGACAGAGAGUGCCUGCCUGAAUUUUUUGGUAAUUAAUCAUGCAUAAUACUUUAAAUUCCACACAGGCGGCUGGCUGAAAACCCUCCAGGGAUUGCUGCAUUUGCUAUCCGAAAGUCAACUCCUAUGCCUUCGGAGAGUGAGGAAGAUCAGAGAGGGGCAUUUUUGCCUGUUUUAAUGUCGCCAUCAGUCACCAGGCAAGUCUGCAAUCUUUGCUGCAUCCUUCCAUGGUAUCGGCACAAGCAAGGCUAAACCAGGAAAUAUAAACAGUUGUCACUAAGUAUCUUUGGAGGAUUAGUCCGAGGACCUCCCUCAAAUACCAAAAUCCAGGGAUGCUCAAUUCCGUGGUACAAAAUGAAGUAGCGUUUGCAUAUAACCAAGAGGAGGAAAAUGAGCUGCAGAAGGAUCAAAUGACCUGCCUGAGGUGCCCUAUCUGUUGGCACAGGCCAGAGCACAUGGUGGAUGCAGGGGCACCCCCUUCCCUUCUCCUCCCCUCCGGCUCUUUGCUGACAGGAUUCUCUCUUGCCUUCUCUGAUGGUACCUGUGCUACGUGCCACAUCCUUUCCCUCAAUGAAUUUCAGGCAGUGGAAGGGGCCGCAGAAGUUCCUUGACUCAUGAGGCGAGGCAUUCAGCGGCCUCGUGACACCUCCCAGGAUCUGCAGUCAUUGGGCUGCACUUGCCAAUAGCAACACCUGGCAAAAAUAGCUAAGAAGCAGAGCGGCCUGGGCUCAGGAGCUGAGCAACCCCUGACUGGCCAGAUGGAGACUGUGUUGAGCUCUGCCCAAGCCCUGUGAUCCUGGAAAACAGUGAAGUUAAGGAGCCAUCUGCAUUCUAGGGAAUGGCCCACUGCAAAAAAUAGCCUUCCUUAUAGGACGUAGAGGACUCAUGAUGUCCCCUCAUUUAUGAUGAGCCAACACACAGCCCUUCCAAAUUCCGAUUCUUUGCUUCAUAACUGAUGAGCUGUUUUGUUCCCACUGGUCAAUCGGAACAACAUUCUUGCUAACCAGAUUUUGGUUCAGCUCUUCUCCCUCCCCAUGUACCUGCCCUGUGUCCUGUCCUCAUCCUGAGCCAGCACACACCCCUCCUUAGUAGCUCCUCCUGCAGCAGGCUGACCUCGGACUCUCCCUGAUCCAUUGUCCAAAUAUAUCACCCUUUCACCCUACAUCCUCACACCCCAUUCUUUCUAGUUUUGUUCAUUCCUCCCUGUGAAAGAUGAACCCUCUUUGCCUAACCCCGGACCUGCUUGCAGACUGCUAUGAUGGCCAGAGUGUCCCCCCUACUGCAAGAGUCCCUUCUGUCCCUUGCAACAUCUUUUAAAUAAAAUCUCUCUUUACCAA